AAGAUUUCCAAGGUAGAUCUCCUUCAACUCUAUAAUGGCAGAAAUUGAUUAUCUUUCUUUGGCUUCUUCGAUUUCUCUAUUCGAAACCUCAAUCGUGGUCUAUCUUUGAUUUUAGGUUGAGAAUUCUCACUUCAAAAGAUAUUGAGUUUGCAUUUUGUAUAAAAGAUAGAAGAAGGAAGAAAGUAUUGGCUUCGAUAUGAUCAGGAAGGAAGGAGGUAGCUUCCAUGGCAUGAAACAAGCAGUGUUGGUGGUAUUAGAUUGUAAUUUCGUUUGUUAUAAUAGUAUUCGCGGAGGUACUUGUUGUAAUUUUAUGUCUUAAUUUCAGUUGCUGAUUACUUUCAACAGAAGUAUAGAAUCAGAUUGAGAUAUGUGACAUGGCCUGCUCUACAAGCAGGAAGUGCAAACAAGCUUAUUUACUGAUUACGUGUUGGUUGCUCAACUUUUUAUAAUUAUUUAGUUGAUUUUGUCCUAGAAAUUAAUAAAUAUCAGUUAGCCUUAUUUCUGUAUCAUUCUAUCUUUACAAAAGCAGAAGAUCAAGCAUUAUUUUGGGAUCGAUAAUGCCUGACUCUUUUUCUGAUGCGUUGGAUCCAGCUCAUCAUGGUGUACUUCAUAGUGCUGCACCAACAGAGUUAAAAGGAGCUGGAAAAGUUGAAGCCUGUAAUUUGAAUUGGUGAUCUAAACUGCGCUCAUCAAGAAAUAGACAUAUUUAACCUUGCAAGCAGAUAAUGUGAAAAAUGAUGUGAUAUCCAUUUCUUUGCAUGGACUAAUAUCAGUAGUGUGAAAGUUAUAUAAAGAACAAGGGAAUUAGAGGAGCAGCAAGCCAAAAGGUGAGGCCAGGGCAAUAGAGUUUUUGGGCAGAAAGUUAGAAGGAAAAUUCGAGGGGAAGCUCUUGAAUCAACUACCCAUUGUACUGUGUCGUUCUCAAGAUUGACAUUUCCUACUACUUUAUAGAGGAAUUUCAAAUCUGUUUGUAGUUUUCCUGCUCAGUUCUUAUUGGAAUAUAUUCUCAAUAAACGAAGGCAAACAAUCUAGCAAUAUUAAAAUCAUAUAUUGUUAGCUACUUUAUCGGUUGUUAUUGGAAUUUCAAAUCGGUUUGUAGUUUUCUU